rnacentral:rRNA from 1 species
UACAGAGGGGGGCAAGCGUUAUUCGGAAUUACUGGGCGUAAAGGGCUCGUAGGCGGCCAACUAAGUCAGACGUGAAAUCCCUCAGCUUAACUGGGGAACUGCGUCUGAUACUGGAUGGCUUGGAUUCGGGAGAGGAAUGCGGAAUUCCAGGUGUAGCGGUGAAAUGCGUAGAUAUCUGGAGGAACACCGGUGGCGAAGGCGGGCAUUCUGGACCGACAUUGACGCUGAGGAGCGAAAGCCAGGGGAGCAAACAGG